rnacentral:tRNA from 1 species
GCCCAGGUGGUGGAAUUGGUAGACACGCAGGACUUAAAAUCCUGUUCCUUCACUGGAGUGCGGGUUCGAUUCCCGCCCUGGGCACCA